ACACCACUCGCAAAUUCGGAUCCUGGGAAACAGGCAGAACUUCGGUUCGUAAGCUCGGGUAAACUAGUCCUUUACCGUCGUAUCGUACUUUGUGUGGCC
rfam:Barley yellow dwarf virus - GAV, complete genome.